CGAGGCGAACCGGGGAAACUGAAACAUCUCAGUACCCCGAGAAAAAGAAAUCAACCGAGAUUCCCCCAGUAGCGGCGAGCAAACGGGGAGCAACCCAGAGUCAACAUCAAUAUUUACCACAGGAGAAGGGUCUGGAAAAGCCGGCAAUAAAGGGUGAUAGCCCCGUAUCUAAAGCGGUAAGUGUUGUGAACUCGAAGAGUAGGGCGGGACACGUGUUAUCCUGUCUGAAUAUGGGGGGACCAUCCUCCAAGGCUAAAUACUCCUGACUGACCGAUAGUGAACCAGUACCGUGAGGGAAAGGCGAAAAGAACCCCGGCGAGGGGAGUGAAAUAGAACCUAAAACCGUGUACGUACAAGCAGUGGGAGCACCCGAAAGGGUGUGACUGCGUACCUUUUGUAUAAUGAGUCAGCGACUUAUAUUCUGUAGCAAGGUUAACCGCAUAGGGGAGCCGUAGGGAAACCGAGUCUUAACUGGGCGUUAAGUUGCAGGGUAUAGACCCGAAACCCGGUGAUCUAGCCAUAAGCAGGUUGAAG
rnacentral:rRNA from 1 species